rnacentral:rRNA from 1 species
GACGAACGCUGGCGGCGUGCUUAGCACAUGCAAGUCGAACGGGCCCGCUCUCUUUUUUGGGGGUGGGUUGAGUGGCGAACGGGUGAGUAUCACGUGAGUAACCUGCCCCCUGCUCCUGGAUAACUGCUUGAAAGGGCGGCUAAUACGGGGUGUGCCGGCUGGUCCGCAUGGGCCUGGUCGGGAUAGUUUCAUCUUCGGGUGUUUCGGUGGGGGAUGGGCUCGCGGCCUAUCAGCUUGUUGGUGGGGUGAUGGCCCACCAAGGCGGUGACGGGUAGCCGGCCUGAGAGGGUGGGCGGCCACACUGGGACUGAGACACGGCCCAGACUCCUGCGGGAGGCAGCAGUGGGGGGUAUUGCACAAUGGGCGGAAGCCUGAUGCAGCGACGUCGCGUGAGGGAUGGAGGCCUUCGGGUUGUGAACCUCUUUCUCCGGUGGUGAAGGCCCUGUCCGUUGCGGCGGGGUUGACGGUAGCCGGGUAUGAAGCGCCGGCUAACUACGUG